UGGGGAAUUUUGCACAAUGGAGGAAACUCUGAUGCAGCGACGCCGCGUGAGUGAUGAAGAUCUUCGGAUUGUAAAACUCUGUCCUUAGUGAAGAUAAUGACAGUAACUAAGAAGCAAGCCCUGGCUAAAUACGUGCCAGCAGCCGCGGUAUUACGUAUGGGGCAAGCGUUGUCCGGAAUUAUUGGGCGUAAAGGGUACGUAGGCGGUUUAAUAAGUCCUAAUUAAAAGGCUAUGGCUCAACCAUAGUAUGGUUAGGAAACUGUUGAACUUGAGUAGAUGAGGGGAAAGUGGAAUUCCAUGUGUAGCGGUGAAAUGCGUAGAUAGAUGGAGGAACACCAAUGGCGAAGGCAACUUUCUGGAAUCAAACUGACGCUGAGGUACGAAGGCGUGGGGAGCAAACAGG
rnacentral:rRNA from 1 species